CAGCAAAGUCAUCAAAUUGAAAUGGCGAAUACUUUGGGUAAAUGUUGGCAAUAAUAGUUAUGCCACUUUCUGUCCCUCUCAAAUUUUUGUCUGUUUGAAGAUGGCCUCAAACAAGUUGCUAUACU